GCCGGUGCCUAUUGCGAUGAGGUCCCACCUGUUCCCAUACCGAACACAGUAGUUAAGCUCAUCUGUGCCGAAAAUACUUGGUGGGUGACUGCCUGGGAAGAUAGGUCGGUGCCGGCU
rnacentral:rRNA from 1 species